CCUGCCUAAAUGCCACUCAAGGGACAGGAACAGCCCCUCACGAAGGCAAAGAGGCUCUGAAAUAACUAACAGCCUGAUGCCAAAGGAUGUCCCAGGACACUCGCUGAGGAAGUGGUAAUGUUUGAUGUGGAUGCAGAGCCCUCCCCAUCACAGGAGCAUGCCCACCACACCGCCCUUAUGCUCCGUCACACGGCUGUCUCUCAGGAGCCCAGGAGAGCUCUGGGCUGGGGCCUCACCCCAUCAAGUACCUGCGGUCAAAUCGGUUGCCAAACACUCCAGCUGCUGAAGGUGUCAUCGCCGAUAGCAGGGAUCACUCAUCAAGGCCACUCGGACCGAAGGAACUUUGUUCCCAAAUGUUAAUCCUGGAACCCCCAAACCCUUCACAUGAACCUGUUUUUCUGGUUUUCUAAAGCUAUCAUCACUUCACAGUAUUUCAACAAUGAGCUGAAACUGAGUGAGGCCAAAAUACAACUCACAGAAGUAUCAAGGCCAAGGCACGUUAUUUCAAUACAUCACAUAUGAAAAUGGAAAAGGUGAUGGGAAGGACAGAAAUUUGAAACCAGUAGUUCCAUUGCCAUCUCCGUGGGCUAUUACACUGACAAUGUUGUGAUUCGCCCUCCCAAGGAGACCUUAAGUCGGUGCAUUUGAGAGCAUUGGCAGGACGUUGAAACUGAUCCUGGAGGAGUUCCACGCAGCACAGCCCAAGACUUUUGCCCAACGCCACCUGCCAAAAACAAUGACCUCAUUGUGCAACCGUGCUCCUACUCAGACUGUCUCAGCCUG